rnacentral:rRNA from 1 species
GAUGAACGCUGGCGGCGUGCUUAACACAUGCAAGUCGAACGAUGAAGCCCAGCUUGCUGGGUGGAUUAGUGGCGAACGGGUGAGUAACACGUGAGUAACCUGCCCUUGACUCUGGGAUAAGCCUGGGAAACUGGGUCUAAUACUGGAUAUGACUUCUCAUCGCAUGGUGGGGGGUGGAGAGAUUUAUUGGUCUUGGAUGGACUCGCGGCCUAUCAGCUUGUUGGAGAGGUAAUGGCUCACCAAGGCGACGACGGGUAGCCGGCCUGAGAGGGUGACCGGCCACACUGGGACUGAGACACGGCCCAGACUCCUACGGGAGGCAGCAGUGGGGAAUAUUGCACAAUGGGCGCAAGCCUGAUGCAGCGACGCCGCGUGAGGGAUGACGGCCUUCGGGUUGUAAACCUCUUUCAGUAGGGAAGAAGCGAGAGUGACGGUACCUGCAGAAGAAGCGCCGGCUAACUACGUG